rnacentral:rRNA from 1 species
GAUGAACGCUGGCGGCGUGCCUAAUACAUGCAAGUCGAGCGAACAGACGAGGAGCCUGCUCCUCUGACGUUAGCGGCGGACGGGUGAGUAACACGUGGAUAACCUACCUAUAAGACUAGGAUAACUUCGGGAAACCGGAGCUAAUACCGGAUAAUAUAUUGAACCGCAUGGUUCAAUAGUGAAAGACGGUUUUGCUGUCACUUAUAGAUGGAUCCGCGCCGCAUUAGCUAGUUGGUAAGGUAACGGCUUACCAAGGCAACGAUGCGUAGCCGACCUGAGAGGGUGAUCGGCCACACUGGAACUGAGACACGGUCCAGACUCCUACGGGAGGCAGCAGUAGGGAAUCUUCCGCAAUGGGCGAAAGCCUGACGGAGCAACGCCGCGUGAGUGAUGAAGGUCUUCGGAUCGUAAAACUCUGUUAUUAGGGAAGAACAAAUGUGUAAGUAACUAUGCACGUCUUGACGGUACCUAAUCAGAAAGCCACGGCUAACUACGUG